ensembl:lncRNA
CCAUAGCCAACUCACCAAGCUCACCAAGUCCAGUAUUCAGAAUUCAAAGCAUUUAUUCACAAAUACGUUCUAUUUUUUUGACAAGCGGAGCCGACAGUCCUGUGCAAGUAUGCACAUUAGCCAUGUGCGCCAAACAGAAGAUAGACGCAAUGUAUAGAACUGAUUGUUGUGCAUUGUUGUGGAUAUGUAGGCUGGUUAGUUGUGGUUGUUUGUGGUCUUAGUGAAACAGCUUUGCCUUGGAGUUGGAGAAGUUGGAGUGAUUGUGUGAAUGUGCGAGAGAGAGCGCAUCUGCCGUGGUGAUGUUGGGCUUGUUGUUGGCUUAUAUGUGAUCAAUGAUGUAUCUGUCUGAUCGUAUUAGCUGUAGAUGGAUGGUUAAAUAAUGUCACAAGAACGGUCAUACUGCAGGCUCUUAUUUGCAAAUGCACUGAUUGUGUGCCUGUCUCCGAUAUGCUAUAUACCUGGCAUUUAUUCAGUUCAUGUUCUUCUGAGUGCGCAAGAACUGUGCCAAUUAUUGUCGUGUUUGCAUUGUAAUGCACAACUUUGCCCCUCCCUGUUAUAAAAUAACGUGCAUCCCAACAACUUUAGCCAAUGCAGGCUCCUAUUGCUAUACCAGUGUGUUUAACGUGUGUGCGUGUGUGUGUCUGUGUGUGUGUGUGCGUGUGUUUGUGUGUUGUCAUGUAGGCUAUAGAUAUAGAUUGAUUGUCUUGGCUUGCUUGCAUCCAUGAAAUAUUGUAAUGUUAUGGCCUAGCUGGCUACUGCAUAUCGAGAACAAUCUGGGGAUGAGGGCAUCCCCGAAUAUUGACGGGUAUUUCGAACACUGCCAUCUCAAUAUAUAGCCUAACAUAUACAAAUAUAUCAGUGUACUAGACACAAAUGUAUUUUCCACUAGCUAGUGGUGGUCAUUACAUUGUAGUGAAACUAGUAAAGACAACACAGCUUUAUGUUACGGCGAAACAUGGAGGCACUGCAGCUCUAGUCUCGACAAUGCGUUACUCUAGUCUGGUAUUUCUCUUCACUGAUUGGUUAGACAGCCUUCAAACUUAGUGGUCAAGCAAAGAAGAGGGAGGGCUCGUUCUGCAUACCUAAUAGCCGGAGUGAAUAACUAAUAGCCGGAGUUAAUAACUAAUAGCCGGAGUGAAUGACUAAUAGCCGCGGCUAUUAGUCAUUCAAAACCGUACGGAAUUCUUGCCAAACCGCACAGGUUUUGCACUUUUACCGCGCCAUUCUAUUCUUUCCAUAGGUUUCCUCCUACUGCAUAAAGCAAAGUGUCUCUCCCACGGAGGUUGGUCCUUACAGAUACCCGUAGUUCUGACUUCAAAGUCAGAAUUCUGACUUUUUUCUCAGAAUUCUGAGAUUAAUGUCAGAAUUCUGACUUUUUUCUCAGAAUUCUGAGAUUAAAGUCAGAAUUCUGACUUUUUUCUCAGAAUUCUGAGAAUAAAGUCAGAACUUAAAGGCCCACUAUGCAACUUCGGGCAUUUCUUCGCUGUUUUCUUGGUUUUGGCACGCACAUUUCUCUACACAGCGCCCCCUAAAGCUUCGUAGUAGAUAUUUCACAACACUGUCGUAACAACUCGUUGACGUCCCUUCCCCAUGCACUUCUACGCGAGCCAUGUGCAUUUGUUUUCAAAGAAGCCGGCGAAUGCGCGGAGCCAUGUCCGAAAUAGAUGUUCAUAAAGUGUAGGCAAGGUUAUACAUUUUUAAAAUGGUGUAUUUGCAUUGCAAUAAACAUAAAUCCAUCAUUUUUUAUAGUUGACGGGGAGAAUUUAUACCCUUGGUUAUAAUUAUUUUAUCUUAGGUUGAACAGAACAAUCAGUGUAAGAGGUUUGGCCAACAUAAUAAUCGAAAUAAACAAGAACCUGGAUUCGGGGAUUCAGUCUGUAUCUGGGGGACGAGACAUACGAACAGCAAAACAUCCAUGGAAACAAAGGUGUUUAUAUGGUUGCAACCAAGCAAGCUAGAAACAAACAGGGCUCACAACAAAACGGUCGAGAAAACAAUUUUUACAGGGCUCAAAAAAAAUGGUCGAGCAAACACAUGUGUACAGAGACUAUCAGAAUCAAGAAUAUUACGCAGACAAAGUUCACCCAAGGGUACUUUCAAUUUCAAAAGCAACACGGCCGAGUCGGCGUCUGAUUUGCAGUCUUCUUUUUCUUUCAGUUCACGCUAUUCCUGAAGAGCUUGCCCAACGUUUACUCGUGUCUGGCCUCUCUGUCGGUCUGUCUCCCUUUUCUCUACUUCUGUUCCUCCGACAUUGGGUUUCUCUGUCUCUUUUUAGUCGGCUGAUCUAUGAUGAAUAUAACAAUCCAUUAGUUACUUGUGUUUAUAUCGAGCCGGUUCCGUGUUUGUGGGUCUGUGCCGUAAAGCAAUUCGUUACUGUAGUGACCAUAGUAGUGACCCUUGCACAGAAGCAUACGGCCGACAUCUUUCUUUUUUUCUGGGUGGAAAUAGUAACAUAGUUACGCCAUUAAAUGCGUUUAUGGAAACAUUUUUAGCGAGAAAUGUGCAUUUUACUUUCAGAAUGUUCGCUCGGUGAAUGUGAAGGACGUUUGGUUUGAUAGUUAUGACGAAGAGUGAACGCUCCGUUCACUUGCAUGGACAGAGUCUCUGGCUGCUAAGCAACCUCAACGUCUUGGCGGACUAUUUCUCUGCUGAUCAACACUACGAAUGCUGGAAACACACCAGACACACCAUGUGAAGUUAUUUAACCCGAUUAUCGUUAUUUAUGAGUCCUUAGCCCAAGUGAAGGAGUUCAAGUACCUCGGGGUCUUGUUCGCGAGUGAGGGUACUAUGGAGCGUGAGAUUGGCCGGAGAAUCAGAGCAGCGGGGGCGGUAUUGCGUUCGCUUUACCGCACCGUUGUUACGAAUAGAGAGCUGAGCCGCAAGGCAAAGCUCUCGAUCUAGCGGUCGAUCUUCGUUCCUAUCCUCACCUAUGGUCAUGAGGGUUGGGUGAUGACCGAAAGGACGAGAUCGCGGGGUGAGAAGCUCAGUAAUCCGUGAGGAACUCGGAUUAGAGCCGCUGCUCCUUUAGUUAGAAAGGAGUCAGCUGAGGUGGUUCGGGCAUCUGGCAAGGAUGCCUACUGGGCGCCUCCCUUUGGAGGUGUUUC